GCACCCCCUGCUGCAGGUCUCAGCUCCGGUGAAGAAGAAGGCCAGCUGCCCAGCAGACAGGGACAAGGAGUGUGCCCACAGCUCUGGGGCAGGCACAGCUGUCCUAGGGACUGGAAGCACCUGCUGAGCUUGUACAAUAAAGGCCGCUUGGGAAGGCUGAAGAAAUCCAGUUGUGUGAACUCAAUGAAUGAUUAGAGGAGAAAGAAAAAGAGCCUGCAAAACCCACGGGCAUUUUAGGGACCGACCAUCCGCUUGGAGUCAACUCUAUCCCAUAAUGAACGAAAAACGUUUGGAGUCUAUUAAUCUGCUGCUCACUUUCGAAAAUGCCAUCAGCCUCUUUCCGGUCUCAAUGUGCUGUGGAGGAGGGUGCUCCCCAGAGAGCAGCCCUGCGACAGAUGGAUGGAAGGACCCCCAAAUGGCUGAAUUGAGAAGAAUGAGCAUAUUAGGAGGCCAUAGCAUUGGGGAACCUCUCAGGCAGACAGACCAAGCAGUGGAAACUGCAGACUUAUUUGUAUGUUUUAGUAAACACCUUUGCUUCAUUUUCCCUGUCUCCGCCUGGACUGAGGGUCGCCUCACCUCUCCUGGUGUCCAGAGCCUCCUUCAGCACAGAUGUUUCAAACCUGAGUUCUCACAAACAACGGGGUCCAGCCCUUCUCAACACGGGAAAGCCCUUGAGCCAUCUUUGAUUUGUGUGUUUUGA
rnacentral:lncRNA from 10 species